rnacentral:lncRNA from 1 species
GGUUUCUCAGUUUCUCAUCACUGUUCAUCCUCAAGAUCCUUUCCUCAAUGCUUGCAAGUGUUUUGCCAAACUUCUCAAAGGCUUGCAAUGGCUCUGCAUCAGAUGUCCAAUCUGGAGUAUCUCUCUGCCCAAGGUAAACCUCAUCACUAGAAUGUUUGGACAAGAUUUCCACAAGUGAAAUGCCAAGAACAGCCUGAAACUGUGAACUAAUUGUUUUCAGAUAAGCCUUUGCAGGAUCUGCCACCAGUUCAUCAUAUUCUGGAGUUCCUUCUUCUGGCAUGAAUCGCCGGCUUAUAGCUGGACGACUUGGUGGGAAACCUCCAAAUGGAUAUUGUCCAAAGUUGAUUGCAGCAUGGAGAGCUGAG